rnacentral:rRNA from 1 species
UACGUAGGGUGCGAGCGUUGUCCGGAAUUAUUGGGCGUAAAGAGCUCGUAGGCGGUUUGUCGCGUCGACUGUGAAAACCCGAGGCUUAACCUCGGGCCUGCAGUCGAUACGGGCAGACUAGAGUUCGGUAGGGGAGACUGGAAUUCCUGGUGUAGCGGUGAAAUGCGCAGAUAUCAGGAGGAACACCGGUGGCGAAGGCGGAUCUCUGGGCCUUACCUGACGCUGAGGCGCGAAAGCUAGGGGAGCGAACAGG